UAUUGCACCAUGGGCGAAAGCCUGAUGCAGCAACGCCGCGUGAGUGAUGAAGGCCCUCGGGUCGUAAAACUCUUUUCAAGAGGAAGAGGAAGGACGGUACUCUUGGAAUAAGCCUCGGCUAACUACGUGCCAGCAGCCGCGGUAACACGUAGGAGGCGAGCGUUAUUCGGAUUUACUGGGCGUAAAGCGCGUGUAGGCGGCUUAUUAAGUUGGAUGUGAAAGCUCCUGGCUUAACUGGGAGAGGACGUUCAAAACUAGUAAGCUUGAGUACGAGAGAGGAAAAUGGAAUUCCGGGUGUAGUGGUGAAAUGCGUAGAUAUCCGGAGGAACACCAGUGGCGAAGGCGAUUUUCUGGCUCGAGACUGACGCUCAGACGCGAAAGCUAGGGUAGCAAACGGG
rnacentral:rRNA from 1 species